GAAAUGCGAUAAGUAAUGUGAAUUGCAGAAUUCAGUGAAUCAUCGAAUCUUUGAACGCACCUUGCGCUCCUUGGUAUUCCUUGGAGCAUGCCUGUUUGAGUAUCAUGAAAUCUUCAAAGUAAAUCUUUUGUUAACUCAAUUGGUUUCUACUUUGGUAUUGGAGGUCUUUGCAGCUUCACACCUGCUCCUCUUUGUUCAUUAGCUGGAUCUCAGUGUUAUGCUUGGUUCCACUCGGCGUGAUAAGUUAUCUAUCGCUGAGGACACUGUAAAAGGUGGCCAAGGUAAAUGCAGAUGAACCGCUUCUAAUAGUCCAUUGACUUGGACAAUACUUUUAUGAUCUGAUCUCAAAUCAGGUAGGACUACACGCUGAACUUAAGC
rnacentral:misc_RNA from 1 species